AUUGAACGCUGGCGGCAGGCCUAACACAUGCAAGUCGAACGAGUGGCGGACGGGUUAGUAAUGUCUUGGAAACUGCCUGAUGGAGGGGGAUAACUACUGGAAACUGUAGCUAAUACCGCAUACCAUCGGAUUUGCCCAGUUGGGAUUAGCUAGUAGGUGGGGUAAAGGCUCACCUAGGCGACGAUCCCUAGCUGGUCUGAGAGGAUGACCAGCCACGCUGGAACUGAGACACGGUCCAGAGGCAUACGGGAGGCAGCAGUGGGGAAUAUUGCACAAUGAGCGCAAGCCUGAUGCAGACAUGCCGCGUGUAUGAAGAAGGCAUUCGGGUUGUAAAGUACUUUCAGCGGGGAGGCGUUACCCGCAGAAGAAGCACCGGCUAACUCCGUGCCAGCAGCCGCGGUAAUAC
rnacentral:rRNA from 1 species